rnacentral:rRNA from 1 species
GGGGAAUUUUGCGCAAUGGGCGAAAGCCUGACGCAGCAACGCCGCGUGAGUGAUGAAGGCCCUCGGGUCGUAAAGCUCUGUCGGGAGGGAAGAAAUGAUUUAGGGUUAAUACCCCUUGAUCUUGACGGUACCUCCGAAGGAAGCACCGGCUAACUCCGUGCCAGCAGCCGCGGUAAUACGGAGGGUGCAAGCGUUGUUCGGAAUUAUUGGGCGUAAAGCGCGUGUAGGCGGUUUCUUAAGUCUGAUGUGAAAGCCCCGGGCUCAACCUGGGAAGUGCAUUGGAAACUGGGGGACUUGAGUACGGGAGAGGGUAGUGGAAUUCCUAGUGUAGGAGUGAAAUCCGUAGAUAUUAGGAGGAACACCGGUGGCGAAGGCGGCUACCUGGACCGAUACUGACGCUGAGACGCGAAAGCGUGGGGAGCAAAC